AAGCCAUUGGUUAGUAAAGCCAAGCGUACCAUGAUCAGAUAAAAGGGUGGGCAGUGCCAGGCCCCUGCGUCACUCUCUGCCCACCUGGCAGCCACAGGAGGGCAGCCACGAGCCUGACAGUAUGUCGGGAGAGCAGCGAGCACAGAACUUAAAGAGUCUAUCAACGCAUCGUGAACUAGGCCACCACUGCAGGGAAGACAUCAACUGUACCAGUGAGAGAAAGGAUGUGGAGAAUAAUAUUUUUCCACCUUUGACUUUCAUCCCCCUUCCCACUCUCUGGGAAUGUCCAGGCAUUUCAGAG
ensembl:lncRNA